rnacentral:lncRNA from 1 species
CCAGAAAUUAAGAAAUUUUUGCCUUAUCCCUCAGAAAAAAUGCAAAGAUCAAAGGAUGCCGAUGCACACAACCCCUCAGAAACGGCUUUUUCAACCCCCUCAGAAAUUCUAGUCCAUAGAUACCACAGCACAACACUUGUACAUAUACAUAUACAAGUAAUUUAAUACAACAGCAAUCCUUUUAUAUAUUUAAUAGUCAUUUACAUAUUGGUGAAAUAUCAAUGUCCAUAUAUUAGGGAUGUCCAUUGUCCAUGAACUUGUCCCUGUUUGAAGCUAAUGUAUUCAUAUCUUUUGUAUAAGUUGUCCCUCUACAAACCAACUUUUAGUCACUAUACAAGAGUUGAAUUUGCAUAAGUCGCAACAAAAUGAACAAAGUACUAUUCCAUAAACCUGUGCAAUGAUCGAGCGUCUUUAAACGUCUCAUACGAACAAAUCUCACUGAGUUUUUUCUACAGAAAGUAUUGAUCCAUUUGAUCGAUCGCCGUACUUUGAGAAAAGCUUGAAGUGCAAAAUUCAGAAGGAAGAUUGAAGAAUUUCGGAGAUAAAAACUGUUUGUCUUCGAGUUUCACCUAUUCACCCCCCGGUUGAGAAAAGUAACAAUUACGUAAUUUUGGAGUCACGUGACCAGCGUUUACCAGGGCUAUGUCGCCGCCUUCAAUUCGCGACUAGCCCUGGGUACGAGGUUGGUAUGCUGAAUGCCUGAAUCGUGAAUAGUUUAGGUAUCUACUGUAAAUUGGCUGAAUUCAUGAAUCCUGAUUGGCUAGAAUUGACAGAAUUAUAACCAGGACAGACAAGGCCGGAACUACUGAGGGGGGGGAGAAAAAUUGAGGUCGAAAAAGGUCUGAAAAAGUAUUUUUAAGUCCCCAUUAUCUCAAACUAGUGUUUGGAAAAAUUUUUGGGAUGUUUUGGUUUCUGAAAAAAAACGUCGAUUCCCCCCCACGUCGCCAACAUUUUCCGGAAAAUUUUUGCUUUCCCAAAAAUUUUUUUGAGGGGUCCCCCCGAAAGGAAGGGGUCCCAAAUUUUUGAAUUCACCCCUCCCCCCGAACCAGAUACCCUUGAUCGGCACAGCCCUGAGGACAGAGUACAAUCAAACUGCACAAAUACUGUGUUUUUUUUUGUGAAAUAAUCAAUAUAUUUUCACAAAAUUAUUGUAAAGUGUGCAUAGGCAUACCAGGCAGGGGGCAGUCGGGCAAUAUUCAAUCAACAGUCGGGCAAUUUUGGUUUGCAAUUAAAAAAAAAUGGGACAAAUUCUGUAAAUUUUGUGGCCAAUUUUGUGUUUUUUCGAAAAUUUGUGUUAUGUUCCGAAAAUUUUUUCAGUACUAGUCGGGCACAAUCCCGAAAAGUCGGGCAAUUUUCUUUCCGCCCCCCCCCCUAAAUUUUUCCUUCCGGUACGCCCAUGAAAGUGUGAAGGGGCCAAAAAAAUCCAAAUUACCUUUUUUCCUGGCCAGGCGGCGUAGGAACUGGGGGGGGGGCAGAGUGGCCAAGGCCCCCCCCCAAGUUUUGGCAAGUGCCCUUUUUCCGGAAGCAAAGUGCCCUUUUUGUGCGUGAAAAUUUUUCAUUAAAAUUGUAUUUUUAGCCCAAGGUGCACUUUUGAAAACUUCAAUGUACGUUAUUUCCUGAAAAAUGUUAAAAAUUGCGGGAAAAAAUCAUACAUACGGAAAAUUUUGUUUGUAUUUGGGAAAAUUUUUUUAGUAUUUACGAAAAAAAUUUUGUUUAUCCUGAAAAUAUUUUUGGGAUAUGUCCGGAAAAAUUUUUUUGAACCCCUAAAAUGGUACACUGACCGAAAUUUUUUUGGCGACGGGGGGGGGGGGUGUUGUGGAGGUCGCCAACAAAAAAUUUGGAGAUGCCCUUUUUUUUCGAAAAGUGCCCCUCAAAGCCUGGCCCCCCCAACUUUUCGAAGGUUCCUAUGCCCCUGUUCCUGGCUAAACAAAGAAGCUGGCAAAUAACAGAAUGGUGGCCUGGGAGCCUGGGAUCAAGUACAGUGUAAAGUGUACUGUGUACUAAUUUAUUUAAAAAAAAAAUUGUUUUCACUUUUCAGUGUUUUGGUCAUGGACAAGGAAGAAUGGUCAUCUAAAAUGCUGAAGAUUGUACAGUCAUUAAAUUCAUUUCACCAUAAAGGUACUA